GGAUGUGAGGGCGAUCUGGCUGCGACAUCUGUCACCCCAUUGAUCGCCGGGGUUGAUUCGGCAGAUCUGGCUGGCUAGGCGGCUGUCCCCUUCCUCCCUCACCGCUCCAUGUGCAUCCCUCCUGAAGCUGUGAGCUCGGUCAAAGAGGACGGCCUUUCCCGAAUAGAGACGGACCGGUCUUCGGUCGAGGGUAUACAAGUAGCUGCGCUCCCCUGCUAGAACCUCUAAACAAGCUCUCAAGAAAUCCUGAGUAGAAAGAACAUAAGACUCAUUUUGUCUUUUCAUUUCCCUGCUAAU
rnacentral:snRNA from 1 species